rnacentral:rRNA from 1 species
UACGUAGGCAGCGAGCGUUGUUCGGAGUUACUGGGCGUAAAGGGUGUGUAGGCGGUUGUUUAAGUUUGGUGUGAAAUCUCCCGGCUCAACUGGGAGGGUGCGCCGAAUACUGAAUGACUUGGAGUGCGGGAGAGGAAAGUGGAAUUCCUGGUGUAGCGGUGAAAUGCGUAGAUAUCCGGAGGAACACCGGUGGCGAAGGCGGCUUCCUGGACCGACACUGACGCUGAGGCACGAAAGCUAGGGGAGCAAACGGG